rnacentral:rRNA from 1 species
GUGGGGAAUCUUGCGCAAUGGGCGAAAGCCUGACGCAGCCAUGCCGCGUGAAUGAUGAAGGUCUUAGGAUUGUAAAAUUCUUUCACCGGGGACGAUAAUGACGGUACCCGGAGAAGAAGCCCCGGCUAACUUCGUGCCAGCAGCCGCGGUAAUACGAAGGGGGCUAGCGUUGCUCGGAAUUACUGGGCGUAAAGGGCGCGUAGGCGGAUAUUUAAGUCAGGGGUGAAAGCCCGGGGCUCAACCUCGGAAUUGCCUUUGAUACUGGAUAUCUUGAGUUCGGGAGAGGUGAGUGGAAUGCCGAGUGUAGAGGUGAAAUUCGUAGAUAUUCGGCGGAACACCAGUGGCGAAGGCGACUCACUGGCCCGAUACUGACGCUGAGGCGCGAAAGCGUGGGGAGCAAACAGGAUUAGAUACCCCAGUAGUCC